UACAGAGGGUGCGAGCGUUAAUCGGAAUUACUGGGCGUAAAGCGUGCGUAGACGGUUAUUUAAGUCGGGUGUGAAAGCCCCGGGCUCAACCUGGGAAUUGCAUUCGAGACUGAAUAGCUAGGGUACGGUAGAGGGAAGUGGAAUUUCCGGUGUAGCGGUGAAAUGCGUAGAUAUCGGGGGGAACACCGAUGGCGAAGGCACCGCUCUGGCCGAACACUGACGCUGAGGCGCGAAAGCUGGGGGAGCGAACGGG
rnacentral:rRNA from 1 species